GCCGGGCGUGGUGGCUCAUGCCUGUAAUCCUGACACUUUGGGAGGCUGAGGCGGGCGGAUUACCUGAGGUCAGGAGUUUGAGACCAGCCUGGCCAACAUGGUGAAACCUCGCCUCUA
rnacentral:SRP_RNA from 1 species